rnacentral:lncRNA from 1 species
UCUAUAUUGUUGCGUCCCUGUUGAACUAGAGUUUCUGUAAUUGAAAUUUCGGUUGUACUGCUGCUGUCGUGGCUGCCAAUCAACACGCUCUUCUGCCCUUUUUGCCAUCUCAAUAGCGUCUGCCAAGGUGAAAAUCGCAGCUACUCCCAUCAUACAACGAAUUUCGUGAUUCAGCCCCCUCUAAUAAUGAGCAACCUGUUGGGCCUCGUUCUCACAGUUUUCACAUCUCGCCUGCAGCCUUAGAAACUCCUCGGUAU